rnacentral:rRNA from 1 species
GAUGAACGCUGGCGGCGUGCCUAAUACAUGCAAGUCGAGCGAACAGACGAGUAGCUUUCUCCUCUGACGUUAGCGGCGGACGUGUGUGUAACACGUGGAUAACCUACCUAUAAGACUGGGAUAACUUCGGGAAACCGGAGCUAAUACCGGAUAAUAUAUUUAACCGCAUGGUUCAAUAGUUAAAGACUGUUUUGCUGUCACUUAUAGAUGGAUCCGCUCCGCAUUAGCUAGUUUGUAAGGUAACGGCUUACCAAGGCAACGAUGCGUAGCCGACCUGAGAGGGUGAUCGGCACCACUGGAACUGAGACAAGAUCCAGACUCAAACGGGAGGCAGCAGUAGGGAAUCUUCCGCAAUGGGCGAAAGCCGGACGGAGAAAAGCCGCGUGAGUGAUGAAGGGAUUCGGAUAGUAAAACUCUGUUAUUAGGGAAGAACAAAUGUGUAAGUAACUAUGCACGUCUUGAAGGUACCUAAUCAGAAAGCCACGGCUAACUACGUG